rnacentral:rRNA from 1 species
GGAAUCUUCCACAAUGGGCGCAAGCCUGAUGGAGCAACACCGCGUGAGUGAAGAAGGGUUUCGGCUCGUAAAGCUCUGUUGUAAGAGAAGAACGUGUGUGAGAGUGGAAAGUUCACACAGUGACGGUAACUUACCAGAAAGGGACGGCUAACUACGUGCCAGCAGCCGCGGUAAUACGUAGGUGGCAAGCGUUAUCCGGAUUUAUUGGGCGUAAAGCGAGCGCAGGCGGUUUGAUAAGUCUGAUGUGAAAGCCUUUGGCUUAACCAAAGAAGUGCAUCGGAAACUGUCAGACUUGAGUGCAGAAGAGGACAGUGGAACUCCAUGUGUAGCGGUGGAAUGCGUAGAUAUAUGGAAGAACACCAGUGGCGAAGGCGGCUGUCUGGUCUGCAACUGACGCUGAGGCUCGAAAGCAUGGGUAGCGAACA